UUAAGAAAAAGACCACUAAAAUCAUGCCCUUGCUUAAUUUUAUUGUGGCAAAAAUUUAUUGUGGUAAACAACAUUGUUUGUUUUUAAAGAAAAGUUCACUCUAUUACAAUUACCUGAUGACUUCAAGUAAUUACACGUGACUGUGACCUUGACUUACUGACCUAUUUUCUUGUUUUUUAAGAUACAGCCUUUAAAUUCUGAUGACAUACACAGUUUUGCACACCGAUCUUAAAACUGACUUUCAGAGACCAUGAAUGUGACCUACUGACCUGCUUUCUUAAUGUUUCAUUGAAACAUGUUCACUCAACUAAGAAAAGAUUUCAAUGCUAACUUAUUUGACUUUCUUACCUGAUCUCUUACACAUGUCCAUGUAGCUCAAAUUACUCAGGUGAGCAAUCCAGGGUCAUCGUGACCCUCUUGUUUGUGAAGAUCUUGAGUAUAUUUUGUUCUUAUCAUAAAAUCCAGAUUUUCUUGACAGACAGACUGGUAAAAAUAACAUUUUAACAUAUGAACUGAACAUUCCAUUAUGUACAUAAUUUAAGAGUUUCAUCCAUUUUUGUUUUGCUGAUAUAUAUGUAUGAAGAAAUGAGAGCAUUUUGAACACAACACCCUUUGUAUAUAAGUGAUGUAGAUUUGCAUUAAAGUAAACAUUGUUUGCAUUGUAAAUAUUGUCUUAUAUUCUUUAUACCCCCACCAAACAUGUUUGUGGGGGUGGGGGCCUAUAUAGGAGUCAGUUUUGUUCCGUACCGUCGCAUUGCGUUCCGUCGCGUCUCGAAAUCUAUUAUCUCAGUUACUACAAAAUGGAUUUGGUUCAAACUUAAAACAGAUGUAUCACCUUAUCAUCCACAUCAUGUGACACAAGGUGCAUAACUCUGACACCAACUUUUCAUGAAUUAUGCCCCCUUUUACUUAGAAUUUAAGGUUAAUUUUGAUGCAUUUUCACUAUAUCUCAGUAAUUACUGAAUGGAUUUGAUUCAGACUUAAAAUAGAUGUUCCACCUUAUCACCCACAUCAUGUGACACAAGGUGCAUAACUCUGACACCAAUUUUUCAUGAAUUAUGCCCCAUUUUGCUUAGAAUUUUAGGUUAAUUUGGAAGCAUUUUCACUAUAUCUCAGUUAUUACUAAAUGGAUUUGAUUUGAAUUUAAAAUAGAUGAUCCAUCUUAUCACCUACAUCAUGUUACACAAGGUGCAUAACUCUGAAACCAAUUUUUCAUGAAUUAUGCCCCUUUUUACUUAGAAUUUAAGGUUAAUUUUGAUGCAUUUUCACUAUAUCUCAGUAAUUACUGAAUGGAUUUGAUUCAGACUUAAAAUAGAUGUUCCACCUUAUCACCCACAUCAUGUGACACAAGGUGCAUAACUCUGACACCAAUUUUUCAUGAAUUAUGCCCCAUUUUGCUUAGAAUUUUAGGUUAAUUUUGAUGCAUUUUCACUAUAUCUUAGUUAUUACUAAAUGGAUUUGAUUUAAAUUUAAAAUUGACGAUCCAUCUUAUCACCUACAUCAUGUGACACAAGGUGCAUAACUCUGAAACCAAUUUUUCAUGAAUUAUGCCCUCUUUUGCUUAGAAUUUAAGGUUAAUUUUGAUGCAUUUUCACUAUAUCUCAAUUAUUACUAAAUGGAUUUGAUUCAGACUUAAAAUAGAUGUUCCACCUUAUCACCCCCAUCUUAUGACACAAUGUCCAUAACUCUGACAUCAACUUUUAUGAAUAAUGCCCCCUUUUACUUAGAAUUUAAGGUAAAUUUUGAUGCAUUUUCACUAUAUCUCAGUUAUUACUAAAUGGAAUUUAUUCAAACUUAAAACAGAUGUUCCAUCUCAUCACCCACAUCAUGUGACACAAGAUGCAUAACUCUAAUACCAAUGUUUCAUGAAUUAUACCCCCUUUUACUUAGAAUUUAAGGUUAAUUUUGAUGCAUUUUCGCUAUAGAUAAUUCUGAUUGGCUUAAAGCCAAAGGGAAGUAACCUUUUUUUAGCUCACCUGUCACAAAGUGACAAGGUUAGCUUUUGUGAUCGCGCGGUGUCCGUCGUCUGUGCGUGCGUGCGUCAGUCCGUAAACUUUUGCUUGUGACCACUCUAGAGGUCACAUUUUUCAUGGGAUCUUUAUGAAAGUAGGUCAGAAUGUUCACCUUGAUGAUAUCUAGGUCAAGUUCGAAACUGGGUCACGUGCCUAGAAAAACUAGGUCAGUAGGUCUAAAAAUAGAAAAACCUUGUGACCUCUCUAGAGGCCAUAUAUUUCUUAAGAUCUUCAUGAAAAUUGGUGAGAACGUUCACCUUGAUAAUAUCUAGGUCAAGUUCGAAACUGUCUCACAUGCCUUCAAAAACUAGGUCAUUAGGUCAAAUAAUAGAAAAACCUUUGGUACCUCUCUAAAGGCCACAUUUUUCAUGGGAUCUGUAUGAAAGUUAAUCUGAAUGUUCAUCUUGAUGAUAUCUAGGUCAAGUUCGAAACUGGGUCACGUGCCGAGAAAAACUAGGUCAGUAGGUCAAAAAAUAGAAAAACCUUGUGACCUCUCUAGAGGCCAUAUAUUUCAUGAGAUCUUCAUGAAAAUUGGUCAGAAUGUUCAUCUUGAUGAUAUCUAGGUCAAGUUCGAAAGUGGGUCACUUGCCGUCAAAAACUAGGUCAGUAGGUCAAAUAAUAGAAAAACCUUGUGACCUCUCUAGAGGCCAUAUUUUUCAUGGGAUCUGUAUGAAAGUUGGUCUGAAUGUUUUUCUUGAUGAUAUCUAGGUCAAUUUCGAAAGUGGGUGACGUGCCUUCAAAAACUAGGUCAGUAGGUCAAAUAAUAGAAAAACCUUGUGACCUCUCUAAAGGCCAUAUUUUUCAUGGGAUCUGUAUGAAAAUUGGUCUGAAUGGUCAUCUUGAUGAUAUCUAGGACAAGUUUGAAACUGGGUCACGUGCCUUAAAAAACUAGGUCAGUAGGUCAAAUAACAAAAAAAAAAACUUGUGACCUCUCUAGAGGCCAUACUUUUCAUGAGAUCUGUAUGAAAGUUGGUCUGAAUGUUCAUUUUGAUGAUAUCUAGGUCAAAUUUGAAACUGGGUCUACUGCGGUAAAAAACUAGGUCAGUAGGUCUAAAAUUAUUAAAAUCUUUUGACAUCUCUAGAGGCCAUAUUUUUCAAUGGAUCUUCAUGAAAAUUGAUCUGAAUGUUCACCUUGAUGAUAUCUAGGUCAGUUUUGAAACCAGGUCACAUGCGGUGAAAAACUAGGCCAGUAGGUAUAAAAAUAGAAAAACCUUGUGAACUCUCUAGAGGCCAUAUUUUUCAUGAGAUCUUCAUGGAAAUUAGUGAGAAUGUUCACCUUGAUGAUAUCUAGGUAAAGUUCAAAACAGGGUCAUGUACCUUCGAAAACUAGGUCAAUAGGUCAAAUAAUAGAAAAACCUUGUUACAUCUCUAGAGACCAUAUUUUUCAAUGGAUCUUCAUGAAAAUUGGUCAGAAUUUUUAUCUUGAUAAUACCUAGGUCAAGUUCAAAACUAGGUCACUAUAUGUCAAAUAAUAGAAAAAACGACGUCAUACUCAAAACUGGGUCAUGUGGGAAGAGGUGAGCGAUUCAGGACCAUCAUGGUCCUCUUGUUUCUAUUAGUCCUAUGUAAAAAGUAAAGACUUUUUUCUGUGGUAACUUGUGUUGGUAAAACAUUUUUUUGUAUUCAUUUUUAGUGUAUCUCUUAUAUUAGAGAUUUUUAUAUUUACCUCAUCCCUCAUUCUGGGCACAUAUACUAGUAUUACUUAAAAGCCCAGGAUGAAGUACUCCAAAGAAGGGUAAAAAAAACUUUUAAGUAUUAAUUUUUUUUACGUUUUAUAUUAUUCUAAGUAUUUCUAAAAUGUCUUAUGGUUGAUGGUUGCCAUUCUUCUGUGACAGGACCGUAUGAUGGGGGUAUAAGUCACUCAUGUGACAGUUCUAGUUUAGUUGUACUUUUAUAAACUACUGUUUAUGUAUGUCAUAAGAUAUAACUUUAGGAAAUAUCUCUUUUCUUUUUGAGGAGAAAUAUAUGAGGUUGCUGUUGUAUACCAUCGCAAAACCAAGAAGUUCAGACUGUUUUGCACAUACAACAUGUACUUGGAUUCCUCAUGUAUGGCCUUGAAGGGACAGUCAUAGGAAAAUGGUAAGAAAGAUGCAUGUGUAAGUAUACGGUAUGUACUGGUGUAAACCAAGGAAUCAACAUUUUAAGCUCAACUACACAAAGUAUCUGGAGAGCUAUCCAAAUCUUCUGGCACAGUUUUGUGGAACUAGUAAAUCUAAUACAUGUAUAUAAAUUGGAUUCUAUGAUUGAAGGGAGAUAACUCAAUUCAAAACUUUCCUACUAUUUAAUUUUAUAAUAGUAAUGUUACAAUUGCCUUUCUGCAAAUAUCACUUUAAAGGUUGAAUAAUAUUUUAAACAGCAAGUAUUUGUAUGCCUUGUAUUAAAUGAAAUGAGUUUUGUCGUUUUUUUGAAAACAAGUCGUAGUAAAACAAAGAAAAAAAGCUACAUACAAAGAAUUCUAGGCAUACAGGGUUGUAGAUCUUCGAAGGAUCUUGUUGUGAGAUGGAGGGAGCUGCCUCGCAGAUUGAAUGUAUAAGGUAAGAGACUUAAGUAUUAUUGAUUAAAAUUUGCAUUCUUAAACUAGGUUCUGUCUUUAGGUAAAAUGAGAUUAAACAUGGAUGUCUCGUAAGAAGAAGUAACUAGAAGUUUUUUUAGCUCACUUGUCACAUAGUGACAAGGUGAGCUUUUGUGAUCACCCUUCACCUGUCGUCCGUUGUCAGUCAGGACAUGCGUGCGUCCAUCCGUCAACAAUUUCUUGUCUGCACAUUAGUGGUUUCAUUUAAUAUUUUAUUUUAACCAAACUUGCACACAACUUGUAUCACCAUAAGAUCUCGUUUCCAUUCUUGAACUGGCCAGAUUCCAUUAUGAGUUCCAGAGUUAUGGCCCCUGAAGGCCAAAAUUAGCUAUUUUGACCUUGUAUGCACAAUAUAGCAGCUUUAUUUAUGAGUUGAUUUUUACCAAACUUGCACAAAACUUGUAUCACCAUAAGAUCUUGGUUCCUUUAUUGAACUGACCAGAUUCCAUUAUGGGUUCCAGAGUUACCGCCCCUGAAUGGGUCAGAAUUAGCUAUUUUGACCUUAUCUGCACAAUAGCAGCCUCAUUUAUGAUUUUAUUAGCUCGACUAUUCAAAGAAUAGUCUAGCUAUUCUACUCACCCUGGCGUCGGCGUCGCCAUAAGUUUAUAAGUUUUUGCAUGCAAGUACAUACAGCUAUCAUUUAAAGGCAUAUAGCUUUGAAACUUAUUUUUUCUUUUUCUAGGUCAGUUACCAACCUCACUGGGUCAAGUUCCAUAACUCUGAUAUAUGACCUAAAAAAGACGAGAUACAGCGGGUACAAGUUCUCAAAGAGAGGGAGGUCUGUCAUGGUAAAAUCAGAGUUGGGCAUUUAAAAAAGUCGAACGAUUGUUAUUGUCCUUUGAUUACUCAACAUUAGAAUACAUAAGUGUCAUCCUUGUCUGGAGCAUUUCUCAGCAACCUUUGGCUGGAAUUCAGCAAAAAUUCAUAGACAGCUUCACUGUCAAAAGAUUGAAAGGUGGAAGAACCAUUGCUUGGGACAGUGGAUGACAUUGACUUAAUUUUUGAAAGCAUGAGACCUUGUCAUGAGUACAGGUUGAUGGUCUAAGCCAAGACACCAUCCAGUAUAGGCGUCACCUCCAGUGUCAGUGUACACAAAACUUGCCAAGACCAGGGAACAAGUGGACCAAGUAGAAGUUGUUAUGUAUGAAGCAGACACAAGGAGUAUAAAGACUUCAUCAGAAUAUUUUGUGAUACAAGGUUGAUAAGGGACCUUUGACGUACCAGGAACCACUGCUGCUUGAAUUUUAAACAUUUAUUACUGGUAGUUACUCGAUCUAAGUUAUUGUCUCUUGCAAAGAAAGCAAAAAGCUAUUUAUAUUUUAGUUGUCCAAUUUCAGUUUCUCUAUCCGUGGUUCACAAGUCAGUUUACAAAGAAUUCAUGACCCAGUGAAAUAGCCAUUUUAGGCAAAGCCAAGAAAUUUUAUACCCAUGAAAUUAAUCAAAGCCUUGAUAAACCCGCAACCAAUAAACAAUGACAAUGUUUAACUUAAACACAAUAGCACGCUGAUAAUUAGAUGUAAAAAUUGAAUUUUUCAUAUGACAUUAUAUGUUAAUUAGAAGAAUUUUUUUUAAAAGAUGCUUUAGACACAACUCCCACUUUUUCAUAAAGAUUUUGGGACAAAAUGUUUCUAGUAUUUGAUCAUACUCUAGUUUGUAUAUGUGUAUCAAGACUAAAGUACCUCUUCCACUUUUAAGCUCAAGAUUAGCUACUCUGAUCACUAACCGUCAUGCAUCAGUUUGUCAAGAUUUUCUUCAGACAUUUCUUUUGUAACCAUUAGUUGUUACUUGGCCUGGAUGCUCCUUGGGUAGUCUUGUUCUAAAGUUUUUGAACAGUUCCUCAUGGUUGCAUAAUAUUAUAGGUUCCACCCCAGAAAAAAAAGAUAAAACUCUUUGAGUGAUAUCUCCUUAAUCACAGCUCUGAUUCUGAAAUUAUUUCACAGAAAUUGUCCUUAAUGACUCUUUACCAAGGUUAUUAUGCCCUCAACAUAAUGUCGGUGCUGUUCAUACAUUCGUCUGUAUGUAGAUCAGAAAGUACAUACGUCACAAAAUGUUGGUGUCCAACUCCUCCAACACAAUUAGUCUGAUGUGCUUCAAACUUUUACAGAUGAAUAAGCUUGUGGAUGAGGAUGUGAAUAAUCUGUAAGGAGGAAUUAUUUGAUGAAUAAUCUGUUAGGAGGAAUUAGUUGAUAAAUAAUCUGUAGGGAGGAAUUAUUUGAUAAAUAAUCUGUAAGGAAGAAUUAUUUGAUGAAUAUUCUACAAGGGAUAAUUAUUUUAUGAAUAAUCUGUAGGGAAGAAUUAUUUUAUGAAUACUCUAUAAAGGAAAAUUAUUUUAUGAAUAAUCUGUAGGGAGGAAUUACUUGAUGAAUAAUCUGUAGGGAGGAAUUAUUUUAUGAAUAAUCUGUAAGGAGGAACCAUUUGGUUUAAACAAUAUUUUAUUAAUCAAAUAGCAUGUAUUUACAAAAUAUUUUUUCAAAAGCUAGGGAUCGAGUAGAAAGCUAAUAAGCUUUUUUAGAAACUCUUACCCAAAAAUCAUUUGAUGAAUCAUAUGUAAGGAGGAAUUAUUUUAUGAAUAAUCUGUAAGGAGGAAUUUUUUGAUGAAUACUCUACAAGGGAGAAUUAUUUGAUGAAUGGUCUGUAAGGAUUUAUAGCGUUAAGCUAUAAUCACACUGCACCGGAUGGGCUUGCGGAUGAGUUCCAGAUAGCAUCCGUAGAACUCCUAACUCAUUCGUAAGUCAUCUAGUGUGUCUGUUCAGAAAUAGGGGGCAUCCGGGGCAAGGGAAUGUUGUUCAAGUUGAACAUGCUCAAAAUUUUGCCACGGAUAAUACAUCCGCAAAAAAUCUGUAAUAAAUCUGUAACAGUUCUGAAAAAGAUCGUAACUGUCCGGAAGACGAUCACUGUGGUAAAAAAAUACGAGCCAUUACGGUUUUAUUCCGGUUCUAAUAAGGUUAAUUAAGGUUCUAUUAAGAUUUCAUUAGAGAAUUAUAACGUAACCAAUUCGCAAAAUUCAUUUCUUGCACAUCCGGAGCAAUCCGGGGACGGGAAUCAGGAGCUCGUCCGAAAGCCCAUCUUGGGCAGUGUAAUUCUAUCUUUAAAAUAAAAUACCUUUUAUAUCUUCUGAACUGUUAACUGUUAAAUGUUAAUCAAGUUGAAUAAAGAAAGACAUGAAUCUAAUAUUUCUAUUAUCUAUACUCUCUUUGUGAAUAUUUGUGUUUUUAAUGAAACAGACAAUGUAUAAAGAUUCCUCAUAUAUAACAGGUAUGGUCUGUAAGUUAUUUAAGGAUUGACAUGGCUUAGAAUGAACUUUUUAUUAACAUUACGGAACAGAUUGGUGUAUGUCACCACUAAUCUUUUUUCCUAUCGCACUGGACCCAAAAUAUAGCUUUAAGUGAACACAUUAUAUAGUUCACUACUAAAUUUUCAUCUAUGGUCCAAAAACAGCCUUUUUUACCAUGGGUAUAUUAAGCUUUAUUUAUUACCUGGUUACAGUGCUAACAUAUGUUACAGUUAAUGAUAUCGUAAUGGAUCUGUGAUGUCACCGAUAAGGUCUGCUAUCUACAAGCACAAGAUUGAAUGUGCGUACAAACGAUCAGUGCAUUCACCAUACAAUAGCAUAAGUAAACCAUAGAUUUUGCUGUUACUGUUAUUCUAGUAUUCUGUUCAUUUUGUUACACAUCCGAAAUUAAAAAAAAAAAAGUUUUAGAAAAAAACAUACUCGUACAAAUUUAUUAAUACUAAA